UUUCAUAUUAAAUAAAACCUCUUUCCCCAGAGAGAAGUAACAAGAGAGGCAGAGGGAAAUGAUUCUAACAGAAGUUCUAGCCACAUGGAAGGAAGCAUUAGCAGUGAGGAAUAAUGGUUCUCUCCCUAAACAUACCACCCAAGGGAACUAAUACUAAAUUAGCACGAAGAGCGCACGCCUGUGAUCUCAGCUACUUGGGAUGCAGAGGCAGGAGGAUCACAUGAGCUCAGAAGCUCAAGCCCAGCCUGGACAAUAUAGAAAGACACAGACUAAAAAAGAAAAAAAGAAGGGAAAAAAUUAGCAUGAAGAAUUCCAGGGAGACAAGACAACAGAGCCACUUUCCUAGCCAAGAAAAAUCCCAGUUUGCAGUUUACUGAAUAGAAGUGUGCCACCUGACAGUAGUUUUAAUGACUGACACUGAACCUUUUGUGAGUUUUGCACUUCUCUUGGCUGAAAUCUCCAAACUGGCUCAAAGAAGCUCCAGCCUCUUCAUUCUCUCAGAUGCUUUGGAUCAUAUUUUGCAUGCUGUGGAGCACAUACACCCAACUAAGGAGACAGUGGACUGAGGAAUAUGAGGUCUGGUUCCAUUUCUGUAGCACAAAAAGAGAAAUGUCCAAGAAUAUGGCCAAGGAAAGCAGAGAUCAGAAAUGAAAAAAAGUUCCUGUUGAUGUUGAGUUCCUUCAUCAAGCUGCACCUGAAAUAAACCCUACUUGCAAUCGA